CUGUUGUGUCAUUCUUCCACUCUUCAUUUUCAUAAUAAUGCAUUGCAUACAUAACACAACACACAAACCAAACCAACCCAUUCUCCAUUCUCACUUCUCAAAUCCAAACCUCUCUGCAAACUCAAUUCCACCCUCUCAUUCCUUCUUCAUCAACCCCACAGACUCCCACAACAGAACCAAAAAACAACAACCUUAAAACUUCCAACACACAAUAAAAGACUCAACGAAGAAUCAAAAGCUUCACUCUCUCUUUUGUUCCUUUUCCCGUAGUGUGAUCAUCGUUUCACCGAUGGCCACGGGACCCGAAAGAUCGAAGGCACUGCACAACUUCUCCUUGCCCUGUUUGAAAUGGGGCACGCAACGGUUACUUCGCUGCGUCAACGUCGACCUCGAUCGCCGGUCCCCCACGCCCCAAAACGACGCCGUUAGAGUCCCCAAGCGCAAAAGCGACGACGCAGAGGAAGCUGGUGCCAUGAUGCCUUGGAAUUUGAGGACCAGACGAGCUGCGUGCAAGGCGCCGCCGCACGACGAGGACCGGAGGUUCUCCGAAAUGGGGUGUUCGCCGUCGCCGGUGAAGAAGGUGGUGGUGGGGAAUGAGAGAGUCAAGUUUUCCGUUUCUCUCUCUAAGGAGGAGGUGGAGCAGGAUUUCUGGGCCUUGGUCGGAACUAGGCCCCCCAGGAGGCCCAGGAAGAGGCCCAGGAUUGUUCAGAGGCAGUUGAAUACACUUUUUCCUGGCUUAUGGCUGGCUGAGGUCACAGCAGAGUCAUACAAAGUGGCUGAGGUUCCUGAAUGAGGGACUGAAAUGAAUGGCAAAACCAAGUUUUGAAUGGAUGUACCAAAUAUUUUUGCUUGCUGACUUCCCAUGUGUUGUGACAUAAAUAAUGAGAUUUCCUUAGCAUGCAUCAGUGACUUGCUGCUAAAAAAAAUAUGCGCAUUAAUUCAGUGGCAUGACUUUCUGUUGAAAGGAGCACAUUGAAAGGUAAUCCUCUUUCCUUUAUAUUUGAAGAAAUAAAGGGGGAAAACAAUGCUUUGGUUGACUUCAUCGGUUACAAUAAAUGGCAAGUGAAAGAUUUAUAAUGUAUUACACAAAAAAUGUCCAUUUCUGUCACUAAAUUUUGCAUUCUCUCCACAACCUAGCAGCUAGCACACUAGUCUGUGGCUAUAUGAAUGAGAAUGAGAAUUUAGUUGUAAUAGUAUUAGUAACAUGUGUCCGUGUUGAAAUUUUCACAAGCUGUUUUGCUGAUGAAAAUAGUUUCAAAUUUUGUUCAAAAUAAUAUGUGCUGUGAUUGUGUUUCCAUUCAUAAACUUGCUGCAGUGACUUAAAACCUGAUUGAAUUGGCGUAAAACCAUCUGUAUUUUCUGCUAUUUUUACGAGAGAACAGAAGAAAAGCAUAUUUGGAUUUGUCUUUGGGAUAUCCAUUAGUGUUGAUUACUUGAUUGUAUGAUUCAUGAGAACUUAUAGCAAAUUUCCACGGCUAACAUUUUUCUUAAUCGCAUUUGAUAUGUAUGAUGGAUGGUUAAUCCUGAAACAAAAUUACAUCAAUGGAUUUUUCUUUCCAUAAAGAGGAAAUUAUCAUUGGUUUCCUACUCAGUGUUACCCUCCUAGGUAUGAGUUCAUUUCAGGUGAGAUAAUAAUGCCUAUUGCAUUUACACUUGCAUCUAUUGCUGUAAUAAUUCUUGUAUUCCGCUAACAAUGGUAUGUUGAUCUAUGUACAUAAAUAGAUGAUGUGAUAAAGAAGUAGAGGUGUGAACUUGUUGGGUGAAUAUAUGAUAGUGACUUUAGACAUGUAGGCGAUUCCAGCAAACACUUACAUAACCUUUUACACUCUCACUUUAUAGCAAUUCAAGUACUUGCUAGUAAUCAGAGUUCCUGUGUAGCAAUCUUUCAUCCCAAUAGAACUCUUGUACCCUAUACUGCAAUGGUAAAUAUCAGCAAGUAUUGGAUUGUCCUAGUUGGCAUUGAACUUGCCAAAUUGAGUUGUUGAGAAAUAAUUGAGAUUGUGGCGGUCCAAAUAAGGCAGCAUCUGACAGGUCUUAUAUUCAAUUAGCAAUAAUGAGUAUUGAACAAUUUUUUUUUU